UGAACCUACGGGGGGCAGCAGUGAGGAAUAUUGGUCAAUGGGCGGUAGCCUGAACCAGCCAAGUAGCGUGAGGGAUGAAGGUUCUAUGGAUUGUAAACUUCUUUUAUAAAGGAAUAAAGUGAGGCACGUGUGCCUUUUUGUAUGUACUUUAUGAAUAAGGAUCGGCUAACUCCGUGCCAGCAGCCGCGGUAAUACGGAGGAUGCGAGCGUUAUCCGGACUUAUUGGGUUUAAAGGGUGCGCAGGCGGCGAGUUAAGUCAGCGGUAAAAUUUCGGGGCUCAACCCCGACGAGCCGUUGAAACUGGC
rnacentral:rRNA from 1 species